rnacentral:ncRNA from 23 species
AGUAAUUUAAAAAAGACUUGUCGUAUAAUCAUGGGGAUAUGGCCCAUAAGUUUCUACCAAGCUACCGUAAAUAGCUUGACUACGCUUGUAUACAAUAUUUUA